CUAGCCUUUUAAUUGGAGGCCUGCAUGAAUGGCUUGACGAGCGCCCUGCUGUCUCUCUUCCCAUGAACUUUUAAAUUAACUUUCGCGUGCAAAGGCGCGAAUGGCUGAGUUAGACGAAAAGACCCUAUGCAUCUUUACUGAGAGAGAAGAAAGUUCUUUAGCUUGGUUUAGCUGGGGCAGCUGAGGAAAAGGCAAAAUUUCCUUAAUAUAAAUCAUACUGGUGGGUUUAGAUCCAGGCUCUUUAGCGGGCUUGACAAGUAGAAAAGUUACGCUAGGGAUAACAGCGUUAUCCUUCUGUGGAGGUCUUAUCUGCAGGAGGGAUUGCGACCUCGAUGUUGAAUUAGGGAUAUACCAGAAAGGCGCAGAAGCUUUUAUUGUGG
rnacentral:rRNA from 1 species